UACGUAGGGCGCAAGCGUUGUCCGGAAUUAUUGGGCGUAAAGAGCUCGUAGGCGGUUUGUCGCGUCUGCUGUGAAAACCUAAGGCUCAACCUUGGGCUUGCAGUGGGUACGGGCAGACUAGAGUGCGGUAGGGGUGACUGGAAUUCCUGGUGUAGCGGUGGAAUGCGCAGAUAUCAGGAGGAACACCGAUGGCGAAGGCAGGUCACUGGGCCGCAACUGACGCUGGAGGAAGCGAAAGCCGUGGGGAGCAAACAGG
rnacentral:rRNA from 1 species